rnacentral:piRNA from 1 species
UGGGAACUCUCAACCAAACUCUGCCCUGCA